CUUGCCUGGUGUUGUCGAAGCCGAUGAUGCGGACAUAGGCGCCAGGGUAUUCCUUCUUGACCUCCUCCAACUCCUUGAGCACCUGCGUGGCGUCAGUGCACCCGAACAUGGGAAGCUUCCACAUUGUCCAGUACCUCCCGUCCUAGUACCCUGGGGAGUUGCCGUGCUCACGGAAGACGAAACCGACCUUGCUGAACUCGAGGCAAGGAACCCAUUUGGAGCGGAUGAGAUACUCGAUCUGCUUCAGGAGGGACUCCACGGUGAGAGGUGGCAGGUAGGAAAGGGUCUCGAACUUCUUGAUGCCCUCAAUUGGCCACACCUGCAAUUAGAUUAAAAUUAGCACACAAAGUGUGAUUUGAGACACAUAUCGAUGGAGUAUUUCACUUCACACAUAUCGGUAUGAUGAUAUACAUACCUGCAUGCUCGUGAUCCUGCCACCGUUGGAGACGCUGCCGAGGCCAGCGCCGGCAGAGCGGCGGCUGACGGGGAGCCCGGCGGUGGACUUGAGGCCCCGGAAAGGAGCAACAGCGGUAGCCGCCGCCGACAUCACUGUCGGACCCAUAGCAUCCACCCUUGUAUCACUAGAGUAUAUCUACUUAGCUAAUAUGCUAAGUUUGGCACGGAGAGAGGAGGUCGAGUGGACUUCAUUCCUGGUCACAAGGGUUUAUAUAUACCAUAUAACAUACGAGCAAUUUGUGAUUAAUUUGUUGUCGUUCUAGGAGAUGUGGAAAGGGUGGAUGCCGUUCGUUGGUUGCCUUAUCCGUUCUAGAGAAGGGAUGGAUGACCGACGCUCGCUCAGCCGUCUCCUUCGUCCAUCGUUGCCAAUCUUUCUAGCUAUAAUUGGAAGUUCCAAAGGAACAUACGGUUUCAUGCCUACUUCCAUCGGCCUAUCAUGUACCAAUCCAAUAAAAGGACAUCGUUCAACCAUCAAUCCAUGUGUGUGUAGUAAGUGAUUGGCUACGAACCUUCAGCUGACUUGCUUUAUUGGAUAUUUCUGUAAAGCGAGUCCACGGUGUGUGGGUUUAAAAUCUCGUGGCGGCAACUGUUGACGGGUGCAAAUAUCAGUAGCCUUAAAACAAUAAACUUUACUCCGUCCCUUCCGAAAUGCAAGAAUGUCCUAAGUCAAACUUCUUAUGCUGCAGGACCAUAGUUUUUGAGGUGUUCUUCUCACGAGUCCACGAAGAACGGGAAUUUUUUGGUGUCGGGUAAGGGCGGGGGAAUAUAUAGAUGCUAGCAUCAGCAUGACGGGCUAACGGGUCAGGUAGGAUUUUGGACGACGUAGCACCUGACAUGUGGGGGCCACAUGUAAGAAAACCUGUCAAAAUGUCAUAACCCUCUGUUUUGGUCAACUUGAUACAAUCUGAUACAAAACGUGUGGUUUUCCUGACAAAUUAGCAAAUUUUGUGUCUCUGUGAGAAGCACGCCCCAAAAACUGUGGUUCCGUGAAAUUUAUUCACUAGUUACACUUUAUCUACAAACAUCUACGAUUCUAAAAUAGUUUGGUAUAUAUUUUCCGUAAUAUAAUUAUUUGAUAUUCUAAAUUCGGGGAUUUGUUCUUAUAAACUUGGUCGAAGUUUAAAAAGUUUGACUUCGGACAAAGUUACGACUUUUUACAUUUAGGAAUGAAGGGAAUACAUUUUAGUAAAGCAAUUGAGGAAUUGACAGAAUUAAAUAUCUUAAAUUAUACUGGUCCAUCGUGUACUCAUGGCAACAAAAUAAAUUUAUAGUCGAAAAGUUGGACCAUGAAAACUUAAAACGUGAUACAUUAAAAUUGUUGAAUCACUCUACAUCUUGUAAUUUUCUCUUGCAACCUUCUGGCGCGCUACUCAUUCCACAUUUGGUACUAUAUGUAUAAAUGUAUAUAUAUACCGCAUUAGGAGCCUCUAUUACUGUUUUAGUAUAAAUAGCAGUUUCCAUCGACUAUGCACUUCAUUAACUUUUUCUUCACGAGAUAACUUGCUUAUCGAUUUUCUUUAAUUAUCCAGAUGGCUUCUACUAGUUUGUUUCCUUGCUUACUGGGAUUUCCGCAGACUUUACGGUUAGGUAUUAUUGUCGUGUGGACAACACGGUGGCCGGAUGUUGAGAUGAUGAUGUCCUUUAUCUCCGUGUUGCUUCUGAGGACUGCGGAUCCGAGGCUAGUGGCGGUAUGGGAUGCCUCUCUACCUCUUGAUCAGGUCAAUCCGGCUCAGCAAGAGGCGGAUCGAUGGUGGCCGGUGUGACUAGAAGCGGGGAGGUAUAUAUGAAACGUUUCUUGCUUCCAGCAUCUCUUCUAGCGGUAUAUAUGUCGUCAGCUGGUUGAGGGAUUGAUGGCAAUCGAUCAUGGCUACGAUGACAUGUAUACGCGCCGGUAGGAACACAUAUCAGGCAAUGUCGAUGCACCUGCAUUGGGCCCUUGCUGAAGGUGGUGGUGCGUAUGGCAGUCUAAAGAUUUAAGACACAAAUUUAGACUUAAAACUUAAAUAAUCAAUUUGUGCCAGCGGGAAACACACAAACACGUACCGGUAAAUUAUCAUAAUCAGAAUUUGUCGACGAAUUUGAUAUUCUUUUACAAAAUAUACUUAUCUUAAUAUGUAUAACCGGAGUUUAUAUUACAUGCCCCUCUCCCAACGAUAGUUGUAGUACUCUUAUAAUAGUAGUACUCAUGAAUACAGUUAAUCCGGGUUGUUGGGAGAGAUCACAUGCAUAAAUACAACAUGAAACAAACGUGUGAAAAAGGUACAUAAAAUCGGUGUGACCCGUUCUUGUAUUAUAAGAAAUCAACUUGCUUAGGCCUUGCCGGACUCCUCACAACCCGGUGGCUUGAAGGCGAUGAAGCUGAUGCACUGCACUUGCCUGGUGUUGUCGAAGCCGAUGAUGCGGACAUAGGCGUCAGGGUACUCCUUCUUCACCUCCUCCAGCUCCUUUAGCACCUGCGUGGCGUCGGUGCACCCGAACAUGGGAAGCUUCCACAUUGUCCAGUACCUGCCGUCGUAGUACCCGGGAGAGUUGCCGUGCUCACGGAAGACGAAACCGACCUUGCUGAACUCGAGGCAAGGAACCCACUUGGAGCGGAUGAGAUACUCGAUCUGCUUCAAGAGGGACUCCACGGUGAGAGGCGGCAGGUAGGAAAGGGUUUCGAACUUCUUGAUGCCCUCAAUUGGCCACACCUACAAUUAGAUUAAUAAUUAGCACCGAAAGUAUAAUUUGAGACACAUAUCAGUAUUUCACUUCAACAUAUGUACAUGAUGACAUACAUACCUGCAUGCACCUGAUCCUUCCACCGUUGGAGACGCUGCCGAGACCAGCGCUGGCUGAGCGGCGGCCGAUGGGGAGCCCGGCGGUGGACUUGAGGCCCUGGAAAGGAGCAACGGCAGUAGCCGCUGACGACAUCACUGUGGGAGCCAUCGUACACGUACGUAGAUAGCUAACAAGAGGAGGCAGGCUUGCUUGAGUGCUCUCUAGCUACAGCGGCUUAUAUAACUGUAGGCUCCCCACCCAUCCAAUAUCAGCACAAGAUCUAGGAGGGGUGGCUGCAGUUCGCCGCGCGGAUUUGCCCAGGCCACGCUGGCAUCCUACGGAUCAGGUCGGGCGCCACAUGGCCGCACGAAAUGGCGCGCGUUAUCCUCUGGACGGAUACAAUUGGCUGCAACGCACUCUGCAAAUCAUGCCAUGAAGUGACCAAUUUUCACCUAUCAGGAUAGAUCCAAUGUGCCACGGCAUGCACUCAAAAACAGAACUUGCUAAUCCCUCCAAUCCAUAAAAAAUCUCGCCCACUUAUUAGAAAAUUUGUAAUGAGUUAAUGCAAAAUGAGCAGCACUUUUUAUGAACUAGAGGAACAACAAAUUAAGAGAAACUCUUCUAAGAUCUUAUCGAGAACGAAGCUUGCCCCCGCGUCGCUCAGUCUGGGGCGACACGGGCGGCAACCACACCAGCCCCGGCAGCAGCCUCUCCCCGUCCUCUCCUCCCCCUCGCCGCCGCCGGGCAAAGCCCGCACGGGGACGGCGGCGGCGGGGCUGUUUUUCUUGGCGGGGGUGUCCUAGAGCUCUUGGCUGAGGCGUUUGAGGUGCUGCCUCAUCGUGGUCGCGGCGUCUCCGGCCCGAUCCGGCAGGCUAUGCCUCGUCUUCGGCUAGAUCCGGCCGGCUUCCUCCCGGAUCCGGUGUUUCCCCUCGUUCUUCCUCUCCCUGGUGCUCGGUCUGCUCGUGGCUGCGCGGCUUCACGGCGGCGCUCUUCGGCCGGAUCUAGCUACUCGUUGGCCAGAUCCGUCAUCUCCUCCGGCUGAUCCGGCAUGUCCCAGGUCUCUUCGUUUCCAUCAUUUUUCCUCUCAGUUUGGUGAGGCGGCUGAUUGAACUUCACCGGCGGCAGAUGGGCUGCUGCUGCGGCCAUACAUGGUCCAAGUCGGUCCUUUUCGAUGCCAUGGUGGCGUGGUUUUCAUUUUCGGUCGCGUCUUCGGCUGCUGCCCGUGUGCGAGGUAUGGACGUCGGCUCCGGUGUUUGGAGUGUUGCUCUGGAUGAAAACUGCCCGUGUGCGAGGUAUGCCGAAGACAACGAUGUUGUAGCGCCGUUUUCCUUCUUGGAGGUGUCGUCGAAGAGCUUCACUUUCCCUCACUUUGAUGUUUGGUGUCUUCGGGUGAAAACCUAAGAUUUGGCUAUGGCCAGAUCGGGCGACAACGGCGUUUUUACGUCGAUUUCCUCCUUGGGGGCGUUGUCAUGGAGACAACGACUCUUGGUGGCAUCGGGUGGUGUGGUCCGUCUAUGGUGGAGCUUGUUGUCUCGAGUUGUUGAAGGUUUGGUGGUGUCUCUUCUUGUGUCAUGUGUUAGCUUAGGCUGUCGGUUUGUGUCCGGCGAGAACGUGCGUUUCUUAUCCUUUGGUGCGGUUUCGGCAUGUGAUGCCUUUCGUCUUCACUAUCGUCACGUAGGUGUCGUGUUGUAUUCUCGGUGGUGUGUGGUCUUUCGGCUUAGCCAACGGCAAGUGGAGGUAUGAUCUCGGUUGUGUAUUGCCCUUCGACUUCAUCGGCGGCACAUCGGCGUCGCGGUGGGUCUCAGUGACGCGCAGCCCUUCGACUCUGCCGGCUACGUAGGUGUCAUGGUGCGGCCUUGACCCUGUGCUUCCCUUCAGCUACGGCGACGACAUAGUGUCUGGGUGGGCUCGUCAGAUCGACGCCUUUCGACUACAUCAACUAUGCUCUUCAUUGUGCAUUUAUUUUGCCAUUGACAUGUUUCAAGAGUCUAGGUUUUUUCCUUGUGUUUCUUUUAGCAAAUGCUGUUCUGCAGGCUGGCUUUUGCCCACCCGAUCAGAAAAGAAAAACAAAUUAAAGGCUAAAAUCAAGCGAUGUUAUAUUCCCUUAGCUAUUACAAAUAUGGAUGAUAAGAGUUAUUUAUCCUUUUUCAACGAGUAACCCUUUACUUGGAAGUUCCAUGUGCAUGGCGCUGCAAGAAAACAAACAUCAUAAUGGGGCAAGACUUUUUUUUUUAUAAACAUCCAAUUUGGGUUAAAGUCUGAAAGAAUUUGGCUAUCUGAACUUUCAGUUUCCACAUUCUUUUACCUACUCAAUUCUUCAGCCAACAGGAUCAAUGGCGACCUACUAACACCAACCAGAACACAUGGGUCACAAACACGAAAAAGGGCUAGAAGGCUACUUAUACACACUCAUGUGUACUGCGAGCAAAAGAACAUAAUGUACAAAACUUUACAAAAUCUAGGGAAUUAAGACCUUCCCGUAUGCUGUUGCUGCCGCUGCUGCUUCAUGCUGGCUCUCCUGGCAACAUCCCAUGGUUUGUGAGGCACACCUACACCUUGCUGGGAUGCGAAGAACGACUCGUAUCCCGGGGAGUCGAAAGCAAAACCAGUGUGCUUGGAGUUCUCUCGAGGGAGCAUGGAGAUCGCAUAGCUUCUUGCUUCUUCUGGGCUCAAAUGGCUCCUCUCAGGCAGAUGUAUCAUGCUGUAUUCGUGGGGGUCAUCCUUGUGCAUCUCCUGGAUUACUUGGUAGUCAUAGGGAAAGAGCCAUCUUUGGAGCCUGAGAAAGCACACAGCAUCAAAGACAACAAUUGAUUCAGCUACUUCAGUAUGUACAAUGGAAGGAAUAACAAACGGAUGGCAUUAACAAACAUAUAAUUUUGCAAAAGAGCUGGUAUCUUACGAUAGAUACAGGAAAUCACCAAAGAGAGCGAUGACUGGAGCAAGCAUUAGUGUGAGGUAGAAGAAAAAGGUACUCAUCAGAACAUAAAUCACAAAAUAUACAUUUUCCUGCACAAGGUACACAGCAUUAAGUCAAUGCAUUUGUAGCAAGUAAUCGUCAUCAGCAGUGUAAUAGCUACAUUAUUCACCCACCUGUCGGUCAAAUGAUGUCAUUAUCGCAGAAUAUAUGAAGAUAAACAGAAACCAGGCCGCUAUACUGCCAGCUACGCUGAAAUAAUGCCAUCUCGUGAUAGAAUUGCACGACAUGAGGAGACGUAGAUUAACAGUCACCACAACACAAGUAAAGGCCAUCGUGCUAACAUCCCAUUGACCAAGAAUCUUGCCAGAUGAACCGUGACCAUGCUGACUUGCAGCUGCAGUAAAGUAAUAGAACACUAUUGACUGGUAGAAGGCAAAGAAACCCCACACCGCAAUCACUUUCCACCGGAAGAAUGUGUUCCUAAUUCCUUCUUGGUAAAGUUGUGGGUAUUUUUUUGAUAGAGAUGCACUCACAUCCUGAAAGGGUUCAGUUUAGUGAAUGUAGCAAGGAGCGUCACUCCAGAACAAGAAAAGUAGAACAAAUACAAGCAACCAUACCUUAUCAAACAACCCAACCAUAAUUACAGGUAGUGCCGUGAAAAUGACAUUAUACAGAGACUGGAACCAGUCAUCAUAAAAUCGCUGACCAGAAAAGCCAGUUUGGAAAGUGAACCAGAACUGAGUUAGUGUAAAAGUCAGAUUCUUGUAGAAGAAGUAUGUGAUAACCUGAAACAGAAAGUGUCAAUGUUAAAAAAAUUAAACUACACAGAUUGGCAGCUACAAGCUAAGGGACCAAAGCAUACCUUGCACAAUCUCAAGUAUGACCACCGCCCAUGUACAAGAAGUAAAUCCGUAAGAUAUCGAAACUGAGCAAUGGCAAAAUCACUCGCCAUAACAGCUUGCAUUCCUUCUUGUCCGCUGAUGCCAAUACCAACAUGAGCAGCUUGAAUCAUACUCACAUCAUUAGCACCAUCACCAAUACUGAGAGUUAUCUUACGUGCACCUUUCCUAACUAAACUUGCAACCUACAAAUGUGUCAACAUUACAUGUUUUGGCAUCAUUCGAACCCAACAGGUUAUUAGGAAAUAAAUCCAAAAAUAAGAGACUUUGAGAUUGCUGAUGGGAUGGGUAACAACCAAAUAAGCACAUAUACAAUAAGUUAAUUAAUACUACCUUUGUUUCAAAAUAUUAUACCAAAACGUCUUAUAUUUUGAAACAGAGAUAGUACUUAUAGUACAAGAGUGUACAGGACAUUUAGUUAAGAGGCCAAAACUAGAAUAGCAAAAGCAACCAAUGCACAGUGGUUAAUAAUGAUCUUGUGAAUCAUGCACAAACUAUUUUGUUGUCAAGGUACAAAAUUGGAUCCUUUAAAAUGUAAUAAUAUCAAUAUCCCCCGUUUAUUGCCCAAGCAUCCUGAAAGGCAUGCAGCUGAGAGCUGCAGACCAUACUGCUAAUUAUUUCAUGGGAAAAGGCAAGGCAUGCAUGAUAAGAACGCUAAAAGCGAGAAUUGAUAUUUACCUGUGCCUUUUGCAGUGGAGAAACUCGACAACAUACAACUGAUUGGCAAAUUAAACUCAAACCAAGAAGAUUCACACGCAGAGCUGGGUCUAGAGCGUACAUCAAGCAUCGUCCAUCAAUAAUGAAAGCCAACUUUCGUCCUGGCGUGCUCCUCAAAGAACGGUGGGCUUCCUCAAGGUAACUUCUCAGACUCUGUUUUACCGAGUCUUUGAUAACACGUGCAAUUUCCACAGGGUCUCCCUGAAAAUGACUGGAACAUUAUUCAUGGCAAAGAUAUGUGCAUAAGUUGAUUUACAUCAAUCAGAUACAAAUGCUAAAUUGCUAAUUAUGGUUGAUCAAACUGCAAAACACACGAGAUAUCCAAAAGGCUAUAUAAACAUGAUGGAGAGGCUAAAGCACUGAAACAACAGAAUCAACAUAAAGUAUUUUGUACUAUUAUGCAACUAAGCCUUUUGUCCCAAGCAAGUUGGGGCAGGCUAGAUAUGAAACCCAAACAGAAACUAAAGCAAAGUGCAGGUAACAAAAGAGCAAGAGAGUAAAUCAAGGUUCAGGCACAUGGACUGCUGAUUUCCAUGCAGCCCUAUCAAAAGCAAAAUCUCUAGAUACAUUCCAGUCCUUCAAGUCCCUUUAACUGCCUCCUACCAAAAGCAAAUAUCAUAGUAAUCCACCAACCAAAGUAACAAGGGAACUACUUGUAACUUCUUAGUUCACAAGUACAUACCAGUUGAGCUAUCCAAUUAUUCUAAAUAAUAUGGUUUGAUACCUUUACCAAAGUCUCAACUUGUAUUCAUUUUAAAGCUUAUACAAGAUAUUAUAUGUUAUGGCUUAACAGUCUCCAUGACACAAUAUGGCUUGACUUCACAGUUUAAUUCUAUAGGAUUAUCUUACCCUGUCUUCAGCAUCUCUAAUUGCAUCUGUCUCAGAAGUGAUGAUGAAUUGUUUUGUAUCGUUAUUCACCAGGCUGCACGCUGCAGAGCAAAAACUAAAUAACUUCAGAAGCUUUUCUAUGUCAGGUGAAAGAGAGAGAAAAAGACCGCCCGCCCCCCACCAAUAAUCCAAAACUGAGCUUCUAUUAGACCCCUUAAGAACGAAACAAGCAUGCAAAUUGAUCUAUAUAUAAUUAAAACCUCACCAUAUGCUAUAUUAAUUGCUGUUUCCAUUUUAUCUCCAGUUAGCACCCAAAUUUUUAUGCCAGCUGCAGAAAGAGUUUCAAUGCAGGCUGGAACCCCUUCUUGCAGUUUGUCUUCUAUUGCAGUGCACCCUAUCAAUAUAAGGUCCUUUUCAAUCAACUCAGCCACCUACAGGGGAAGAAACAGAAGGAAAUUAUAUGGCAAUGUCCCAGCAAUAUCUUAAAUCAGAAUAUACAUUAAGUCUAUUACUUCAAAUUCCUUUUUCCUAGAAAUCACAGUGAACUUAGUACAUGAAAGAAUGAAAGGAUAAUGCUUUUCUAAUGGGGAUUUGAAAAAACAUCAUAAAAAUAAUAAUAUAAAGUACUGUAUGUUCUUGUUCUAGAUAAAUUACAAAUAUCUUUUGCUCAUGAUCCUCUUUCCUGACUAAAAAAUAUAUAUUAUUAUGUAAAAUACUAAUGUUCUAUGGCAGUACAAGAUAAUAAAUUAGCACAAAAAACUAUUAAACUGCAAAUGUCAGCUGUUAGGGAUGGAUGACAUGACUCCUGUAGUUUUGGGGGGAGAGAGAGAGGAGACACACUGAACAAAUUACUUCCUUCGUCUCCAAAGAUUGCCAUGCCACAUUCUAUUCGGUCAGUCAACCUUUUACAACUUCAAAAUUAACAAUUAUAAGUGAAUUGAAUUACUACAUGAAAAAUAACAGCACUCAAUUUGCUUGCAUAAUAAUUUGUACGCAAAACUUUUGCUUGUAUAUUAGCAUAGAAAUCAUAGCCAGAGUUUUAUGUUGGGAGAAUAUAAAAUUAAAAAAUGGCCUACAUUUGUCAGGUACAUUCAGUUAAUUGUUUCCAAAACCAAAUUAAUUUUCAUACAUAAAUACCAAACGGAUCAAUAGCAUGCUCAACAGUGCACAUGAGACUCGAGUUCAGUACUGGAUGACAGAAAGUAAAAAAAAUCAGGCAAGCACUAGAAG
rnacentral:lncRNA from 1 species